AGGUAGGACGAAUAACAGAUGUUCGCCACCAAACCAGGAAGUGAAAACGUGGAGGACCAAAAAGGCGUAGAAAAAGCUCAGAGAGGAGAAACGUAAAUCUGUCGUUUGUUACCUACGCACAAGUGCAUCAGAUUUGAUAUCGGAAAUAUAACUCAGUUACACAAUGGAUUAUAUUAGUGCAAAUCCAACUGUGAUGGCUCAUAUGUACUGGUAGUGGGAGAUACAUAAUAUACGGGAGGAUAAGGAAUAGGAAGAAGAGGAGGAGAAGGAAGAAGGGCAGGAGGACAAGACGAAGAAAAGGAGAGAAACAACACAGCAGUCAGCAUCAGGAACGAGAGGUGUUCAAGAGUAUCAAUCCAAGUAAACAAGAAGAAAAAGAAGUAGAACGAGUUACAUAACCUUGGCAAUAUGUCUAUGGGUGUUGGUGACAGUACUGACCUUAUCCAUGGCGGAGGAAGUGGUGUGCGCGUGUUCUGGUUGUCUCGCACCGACAUGGAAAAGCGCUUGCUGGUGACUGUGUGCGUGCUAAGUCUGCUCGUAGUGGGUCUCAUCACAGGCGUGGCGGUUCUGGCGGCGAAGGAUACUGAACACUGUCCCGAGCCGUCUCCAGGACCGUCACUUCCAACACCAAAACUUAAGCGCCCCAUCUCCAGCACACCCGGUUACCGACUACUCACGCACGCACGCCCACACAAUACUCACCUCCGCCAUCCACACCACGUACACAUCCACCCACCCACACCGCUACGCACACUUCCUCAAUAGCAUACGCAUUAUCACACACCCGUGGUUACACCUAAUGACACACAUACAUAUUGACGUUCCCGUCCUAACCUGAAAGGGUGAGGAUAUGUCUGGCGCUGAGUAGAGGCUACGGUCGAAUAGUGGACCCUUAGGCCUAUUCCAAUCACUCAUCAUUUCACUUUAUGAAUAUAAUUAGGAGACGGUGAGUACUUUGUAUAUGUAGGGUUAAGUGGAGUAGGAAGCCGCCCCUAAGGAAAGAAGUGCCUGUUGUAUCUAUAAUAUUAGAGUUAUUGAUCUGAAAUAUAUUUUGUUAGCUUGGUUAAUGGCUUAUCAAACUGCUGAGUUUUUGCAAGAGCUAUAACAUGAAUUGCUUAAAACAUUAGAAAGGGGCCUUUUACCCCAAGCCUGGGGUGGUCCAGGGGAUGGGCUUUUUACCCCACAUUAAAAAAUAUUGUGGUCCAUCAAUAAAACAACAUUAAAUAUAGAAAACCAUAAAUUUAUUUUCCUGCAGAACAUAAACAAUAGUGCUUUGUACACAAACUAUAUAUAGCUAUUAGUAGUUUUUUCUUUGUUCAGUGCAUUUAACUCAUACAGUGUCGACUUGAGGUACAGAAAUGAGUCAGUUGCCGUUGGUUACAAAUCCAUUGGUGUAUAUAUUUAUUUCAUGCGUUUACGGGAAGUAUCGUUUCCUUGCGAGGCCAAGAUGUAAAGAGAUCUCAGUUAUUAUUUUCUUUAUACAGGAAGAAUGUAUGUAAAAAAAAAUCGGAAAUUUAUGUUUAGUUUUGGGGAGGCGGUGGUUGAGUGGUUAGCUUGCUGGCCGCGCAUUCGCCGCGUUGUGGAUGAUGCGGGUUCGAAUCCGCCGCUACUACCUGGGAUUUUUCAGCCACCGCCGAGCGGCCUAAGACUACCCACAUGCUGUCCUGAAGACCAUCUAUCAAUUCGGACUCUAGAAGAAGCUGUCCAAGUGAAAUAAAAAAUGAGCUUCCGGGGGCAGCAUGAGCCAAGAACAAUGGCGCUUAAGAUGUCAAAAAAAUCGGAAAUUUAUUUAUAUAGUUUUGUAUGCUAUUAUUACGCUUUUAUUUUUACACACAUUCUUCGUGUAUACAGAAAGUGAUAACUACAUAUCUCUAUACAUAAUAAUUACAUAUAAAUAUGUGAAAAACAAAAAUGAACAUAAAUGGUUGGAUAUUUAGUCGGUAACAUCGGACAGGGCACGGCGUAGUUUACGCAACCCAAAGCUGAAAAAACCCCAUUAUACAGUCUCUACUCACCAGUUCUCAUUUCCGAUCAUUUUUAAGUCUAAUAUCUAUAUUUGCAGGCUUUACUCAUUAUAUCUUCAAGUGGUAAAACUGUAUAUGUAGACAUGAAAAUAAUGUAUCCGCAAAAUAUACUUGAAAUUUUGCAACAGAAUUACACCAACAUGAAGCGACUCAACAA